GCAGCAACAGGCAUUUAAAUAAACUCCGGCCAGCUCAAGCUUACCACUAUUUCAAAGUCCGGCAUUUAAAGGUUAAGGACAGUGUUCUAUAUCGUCACAGUUCUGCCUAAUUCCUAUAUGCAUUUGGGAAUAGUUGUUAAAACAAGCAGCCAAGUUAAUACGGAUUGUUGUGAAAUUUGUGAUUUGAAUUCUAUGUCCAUAUCUCCUGUCAGAAACAGCUAGGAACUUUAUGUGUGUAAAGGUUUGAGGACUUUACAGCAGUGAAGAAUCUUCCAUAUUUGCCCCUCAUGAGUUAUGGCAUCAUGCAGGGAAGUAGGUGUAUACCAGGAUAGUAUGUUUGAAGCAAAUUUACUGCUGUUCGAUACAUGCCACCCAAUUCAUCUUCUGGGUAAUCAUGUAGGCACAUGUUAUUAGAUAUCUGUAGCAGUUCACACACAGACACAAGUGAGAAUGCCAAAAGAGUUCGUCUACAAGUAGAUGGAGGUGAGCGGUUAUUUUAAUGCCCUGGCCACUUCACCCCUGGAUAGGUGGUUGGGUGGGCCUCAGAGCCAGUGUGGUUGCUAUGGAGUACAGAAGAAUUUCAUGCCUCACACUGGGAAUUGAACCCCACCUGUUCAGCCUGUACCGUCACUUUACUGACUGAGUUCUCCUGGCUCCUUAUGUCUAAAAUGUUUGUUUAGUAGAUAUAUCUGUUUCUUUAAAGGCUCUUUUAGUAGAUCAGAUUGUAUAGUGUAGAAUGACGGGCUGAUUAGUGCAUAAUGAACUGGGAUAGAUGUGAAAGGAAUGUGUUGUGACCUAGUCUGGGUGGGGAAAAAAUAAAAUUGCAAAAAAGAAGAAAAUAUACCAAAUAUUCAUACAAAAAAUUAAAAUUAUUUUAAAGAAACCAUGUUCUUCUAUCCUAAAUAAAAAGGGCAAUCUGUAAAAAUAUUCUUAAAUGGUCAAAAUGUAAGUAUGUAAGCAAAUUUUCUACCUUGCAAGAAGAAAUGACUGCUCAUAUGUACAGCUAUGAUUAGAAUAAAUAAUGAAAACUGUA